ensembl:snRNA U6 U6 spliceosomal RNA
GUGCUCAUUUUAGCAGUACACAUACUAAAAUUGGAAUGAUAUAGAGAAGAUUAGUGUGGUCCCUGUGCAAGGAUGACAUGCAAAUUCAUGAAGAGUUCCAUAUUCUU